AAGGCCGCGGACAGAGUCAGUUACGGUAAAAGGUUCCCAGUGCCACGUGACUCGGCCUAAUGUUUGUAAACAUGCGUCACUCUCCCAAGUGACGUCACAAACAGUAACGAACAACUCGUCCAUCCAAUUGAAAAGGGUGGGCAGUAACGGAGGGUGGAGGAUAUUGUCCAAUGCCGUGGAGGUAAUCGACGGCUGUUUGUGACGAUAAAUAAAAAGGAAAAAUUAAGUAGCGGAGCUGAAGGAUGUCAGCGGGUCGCUAGCGGGCAGGUGUCUCUCCGAACUGGUCGCUUGGGGCAGUCUGCGUCCUUCAAGUUAGCUGUAGAUUUUGACCAUAAAGAAGAGAAAACCAAUACAAUGCAAGCAGCAGAGAUGGGGCAAUGACAAAGAAGAGACUAGUCAUAUCCUUUCUUCAGUUUGAUCCAUUAAUGAAUACGUUUGAAGUGCACAGCAUGGAUUACUACUGAAGGGACCAGCUGUGAAACUCCUUCACUGACAUUCAGUCAUUCACUAAACGACUCCUGGAAUGCAAAAGACAGAAGAUUCCAAGUGCUCAUUCUCCUUCAGGAAGCUGGUUUCAGAUGGUGGCUUAGAGUUACUUCAUGAAAUGUAUCUAGCACCAUUUGAAAUCAGUGUUCUUGGAGUGAGAGAGAAAUCAUCUCGCUGGCAUAGGAUCACUAUUGGACUUUAGCAAUAACAAGAAGACAAUAAAUUCUUCAGCUACAGUCAGUGCAAUGAUUAAUGAAUGCUCUUUCAUCUUUCAAUGAAUGCCAUUAAUGAAUGCUCUUUUUUAAUAAAUCUCUCUAAAAGAACACCACAUCUAAAAUGUCAGGCUCAUAUAUACAGUAUAUAUACACACACACAUACCCCAUUAUCUUAGUAGAGCAUAUAUAUGCAGAUAGAUUUAAUAUCCAACCCCAGGAUCACAAUUCAGUAAACAAGUACUAACAGACCUAAUGUUGGACAACCCUCUUACCAAGGUUGACUGAUUUCUUUUGGUGUUCAGAGUCACUAUUAGUUUCUAGCACCAUUUGAAAUCGGUUACAAUGUAGGAGGAAGCACAGCAUACCUCAAUGCAGAUUACUUCUAAACCCAAGUAAAGUAAUAUUAUACUAACACUGUAGCACUGACACAUAAUGUAUUUUCUGGUUUGUCUUUUGUCUCUCUGUGUCACCCUCAUUGUGAACCCUGUCACCAACCAAGCACCUAUAAUAAAGUAAAGGAAAAA